rnacentral:rRNA from 1 species
GAUGAACGCUGGCGGCGUGCUUAACACAUGCAAGUCGAACGAUUAACCCGCCUUCGGGCGGUCAUAGAGUGGCGAACGGGUGAGUAACACGUGACCAACCUGCCCUGCACAUCGGGAUAACUGCCGGAAACGGCAGCUAAUACCGGAUACUAUCCGCACCCCGCAUGGGGAGCGGAUGAAAGCUCCGGCGGUGCAGGAUGGGGUCGCGGCCCAUCAGGUAGUAGGUGGGGCAGAGGCCCACCUAGCCGACGACGGGUAGCCGGACUGAGAGGUCGAUCGGCCACAUUGGGACUGAGAUACGGCCCAGACUCCUACGGGAGGCAGCAGUGGGGAAUAUUGCGCAAUGGGGGAAACCCUGACGCAGCAACGCCGCGUGCGGGAUGAAGGCCUUCGGGUUGUAAACCGCUUUCAGCAGGGACGAUUAUGACGGUACCUGCAGAAGAAGCCCCGGCUAACUACGUGCCAGCCGCCGCGGUAAAAC